AAGUCGUAACAAGGUUUCCGUAGGUGAACCUGCGGAAGGAUCAUUCGCACAUACUCAGCAACUUGGAGUACAUGGAAACAUGUAUGAAGAGUUGACUGUUUUAAAACAAACCCAAAACCAAACGCGGACUGUACAAAAAAACAAACCAAAUGCCUUAUGCUGUAGUAGUAGAUGAACGCCUUUAGUCUAUUAUUAUGGUGUUUGGCGAGUUACCAAGUCGGGUAGUGAACCUUGAUGGAUUUCGGGGCGAUCUACUUGUUAGUGUGUUGAUUGUUCCUAGCAAUGGUGGAUUCCAUGCUAGGCGGAAAUGUGUAUACGUAACAUAAUACAACUCUUUGCAAUGGAUAUCUUGGUUCUC
rnacentral:misc_RNA from 1 species